UACGUAGGGUGCAAGCGUUGUCCGGAAUUAUUGGGCGUAAAGAGCUCGUAGGCGGUUUGUCGCGUCUGCUGUGAAAACCUAAGGCUCAACCUUGGGCUUGCAGUGGGUACGGGCAGACUAGAGUGCGGUAGGGGUGACUGGAAUUCCUGGUGUAGCGGUGGAAUGCGCAGAUAUCAGGAGGAACACCGAUGGCGAAGGCAGGUCACUGGGCCGCAACUGACGCUGAGGAGCGAAAGCGUGGGUAGCAAACAGG
rnacentral:rRNA from 1 species